GAUGAACGCUGGCGGCGUGCCUAAUACAUGCAAGUCGAGCGAACAGACGAGGAGCUUGCUCCUCUGACGUUAGCGGCGGACGGGUGAGUAACACGUGGAUAACCUACCUAUAAGACUGGGAUAACUUCGGGAAACCGGAGCUAAUACCGGAUAAUAUAUUGAACCGCAUGGUUCAUUAGUGAAAACGGGUUUUGUUGUCACUAUUAGAUGGAUCCGCGCCGCAUUAGCUAGUUGGUAAGGUAACGGCUUACCAAGGCGACGAUGCGUAGCCGACCUGAGAGGGUGAUCGGCCACACUGGAACUGAGACACGGUCCAGACUCCUACGGGAGGCAGCAGUAGGGAAUCUUCCGCAAUGGGCGAAAGCCUGACGGAGCAACGCCGCGUGAGUGAUGAAGGUCUUCGGAUCGUAAAACUCUGUUAUUAGGGAAGAACAAAUGUGUAAGUAACUAUGCACGUCUUGACGGUACCUAAUCAGAAAGCCACGGCUAACUACGUG
rnacentral:rRNA from 1 species